GAUGAACGCUGGCGGCGUGCUUAACACAUGCAAGUCGAACGAAGCAUUUUACCAGAUUUUCUUCGGAAGAGAAAGUAAAAUGACUGAGUGGCGGACGGGUGAGUAACGCGUGGAUAACCUGCCAUAUACAGGGGGAUAACAGUUAGAAAUGACUGCUAAUACCGCAUAAGCGCACAGUAUCGCAUGAUACGGUGUGAAAAACUACGGUGGUAUAUGAUGGAUCCGCGUCUGAUUAGCUAGUUGGUGGGGUAAUGGCCCACCAAGGCGAUGAUCAGUAGCCGACCUGAGAGGGUGACCGGCCACAUUGGGACUGAGACACGGCCCAAACUCCUACGGGAGGCAGCAGUGGGGAAUAUUGCACAAUGGGCGAAAGCCUGAUGCAGCGACGCCGCGUGAGCGAAGA
rnacentral:rRNA from 1 species